GAUGAACGCUGGCGGCGUGCCUAAUACAUGCAAGUCGAGCGAACAGACGAGGCGCUUGCUCCUCUGACGUUAGCGGCGGGCGGGUGAGUAACACGUGUAUACCCUACCUAUAAGACUGGGAUCACUUCGGGAAACCGGAGCUAAUACCGGAUAAUAUAUUGAACCGCAUUGUUCAAUAGUGAAAGACGGUUUUGCUGUCACUUAUAGAUGCAUCCGCGCCGUAUUAGCUAGUUGGUAAGUUCAAGGCUUACCAGGGCAACGAUGCGUAACCGACGUAAGGGGCGGAUAGGCGACAUGAGAGGUGGAACGGGGUCCAGAGGCCUAAGGGAGGCAGCAGAAGGGAAUGUGCGGCAAUGGGCGAAAGUAUGGCGGAGUAACCGCGCGUGAGUGAUGAAGGUCUUCGGAGCGUAAAGACGUGUUAUUAGGGAAGAACAAAUGUGGAAGUAAAUAUGCACGGCUUGACGGUACCGAAUCAGAAAGCAACGGCUAACUACGUG
rnacentral:rRNA from 1 species